AGAUCGUAUGUGUCUUUAUAAAGUCCGCUGUGAAUUGGAGGCGAAUAAAAAUGCUUGCGACUGUAAGAGUUUAUGCAGAGAAUCGACCUAUGAGAAAACAAUAGCAACACUGCAAUGGCCAACUGAGAGCUAUGUUGACUAUAUUCGUCCAGAAAUUUGUAAUCUAACCAACCCACCAGAUAUUUGUAAACAAAAUGAAUCGAAAAAAGCUUUCAG
rnacentral:sRNA from 1 species